AUCCUACGGGGGGCAGCAGUGAGGAAUAUUGGUCAAUGGGAGAGAUCCUGAACCAGCCAAGCCGCGUGAGGGAAGACGGCCCUAUGGGUUGUAAACCUCUUUUGUCGGAGAACAAAACCCGGGACGUGUCCCGGACUGCGUGUAUCCGAAGAAAAAGCAUCGGCUAACUCCGUGCCAGCAGCCGCGGUAAUACGGAGGAUGCGAGCGUUAUCCGGAUUUAUUGGGUUUAAAGGGUGCGUAGGCGGAUUUGUAAGUCAGCGGUAAAAAUGCGGUGCUCAACGCCGUAUCGCCGUUGAAACUGCGGG
rnacentral:rRNA from 1 species